AUUGAACGCUGGCGGCAGGCCUAACACAUGCAAGUCGAGCGGCAGCGGAAAGUAGCUUGCUACUUUGCCGGCGAGCGGCGGACGGGUGAGUAAUGUCUGGGAAACUGCCUGAUGGAGGGGGAUAACUACUGGAAACGGUAGCUAAUACCGCAUGACCUCGCAAGAGCAAAGUGGGGGACCUUCGGGCCUCACGCCAUCGGAUGUGCCCAGAUGGGAUUAGCUAGUAGGUGAGGUAAUGGCUCACCUAGGCGACGAUCCCUAGCUGGUCUGAGAGGAUGACCAGCCACACUGGAACUGAGACACGGUCCAGACUCCUACGGGAGGCAGCAGUGGGGAAUAUUGCACAAUGGGCGCAAGCCUGAUGCAGCCAUGCCGCGUGUGUGAAGAAGGCCUUCGGGUUGUAAAGCACUUUCAGCGAGGAGGAAGGGUUCAGUGUUAAUAGCACUGUUCAUUGACGUUACUCGCAGAAGAAGCACCGGCUAACUCCGUGCCAGCAGCCGCGGUAAUACGGAGGGUGCAAGCGUUAAUCGGAAUUACUGGGCGUAAAGCGCACGCAGGCGGUUUGUUAAGUCAGAUGUGAAAUCCCCGAGCUUAACUUGGGAACUGCAUUUGAAACUGGCAAGCUAGAGUCUUGUAGAGGGGGGUAGAAUUCCAGGUGUAGCGGUGAAAUGCGUAGAGAUCUGGAGGAAUACCGGUGGCGAAGGCGGCCCCCUGGACAAAGACUGACGCUCAUGCACGAAAGCGUGGGGAGCAAACAGG
rnacentral:rRNA from 1 species